UCCGGCUUAUCACCGGCAGUCCCUCUAGAGUGCCCAACUCAAUGCUGGCAACUAAAGGCGAGGGUUGCGCUCGUUAAGGGACUUAACCCGACACUUCACAGCACGAGCUGACGACAGCCAUGCAGCACCUGUGCAUGUUCCACUACGAGAGUGUCACUCGCCUUUCAGCGAGCUAAUCCAUGCAUGUCAAGCCCAGGAUAAGGUUCUUCGCGUUGCUUCGAAUUAAGCCACAUGCUCCACCGCUUGUGUGAGCCCCCGUCAAUUCCUUUGAGUUUUAGCCUUGCGACCGUACUCCCCAGGCGGUGCACUCAACGUUUUUACUUCGACCGAGAACGGUGUCAGAACCUCCUCGAUCUAGUGCACAUCGUUUACAGCGUGGACUAC
rnacentral:misc_RNA from 1 species